rnacentral:tRNA from 1 species
GCGGUCGUAGCUCAGUUGGUUAGAGCGUUGGAUUGUGAUUCCAAAAGUCGCGGGUUCAAGUCCCGUCGAUCGCC